UUGACAGAAGAGAGUGAGCACACGGCGUGAUGCCGGCAUAACAUGUAUGCCGUCUUCGCCGCGUGCUCACUCCUCUUUCUGUCAG
rfam:Triticum urartu cultivar G1812 contig320088, whole genome shotgun sequence.